GUUGCUUCGGCGGGCCCGCCUUAACUGGCCGCCGGGGGGCUUACGCCCCCGGGCCCGCGCCCGCCGAAGACACCCUCGAACUCUGUCUGAAGAUUGUAGUCUGAGUGAAAAUAUAAAUUAUUUAAAACUUUCAACAACGGAUCUCUUGGUUCCGGCAUCGAUGAAGAACGCAGCGAAAUGCGAUACGUAAUGUGAAUUGCAAAUUCAGUGAAUCAUCGAGUCUUUGAACGCACAUUGCGCCCCCUGGUAUUCCGGGGGGCAUGCCUGUCCGAGCGUCAUUGCUGCCCUCAAGCACGGCUUGUGUGUUGGGCCCCGUCCUCCGAUCCCGGGGGACGGGCCCGAAAGGCAGCGGCGGCACCGCGUCCGGUCCUCGAGCGUAUGGGGCUUUGUCACCCGCUCUGUAGGCCCGGCCGGCGCUUGCCGAUCAACCCAAAUUUUUAUCCAGGUUGACCUCGGAUCAGGUAGGGAUACCCGCUGAACUUAAGCAUAUCA
rnacentral:rRNA from 1 species